GACGAACGCUGGCGGCGUGCUUAACACAUGCAAGUCGAACGGAAAGGCCCCUUUGGGGGUACUCGAGUGGCGAACGGGUGAGUAACACGUGAGUAACCUGCCCUUGACUUCGGGAUAACUUCAGGAAACUGGGGCUAAUACCGGAUAGGAAUCCUUGCUGCAUGGUGGGGGUUGGAAAGCUUCGGCGGUUUUGGAUGGACUCGCGGCUUAUCAGCUUGUUGGUGGGGUAGUGGCUUACCAAGGCUUUGACGGGUAGCCGGCCUGAGAGGGCGACCGGCCAACUUGGGACUGAGAAACGGCCCAGCACCCUGGGGGGGGGAGCAGGGGGGAAUUUUGCAAAAUGGGGGGAAGCCGGAUGCAGAAACGCCGGGGGCGGGAUGACGGCCUUCGGGUUGUAAACCGUUUUCAGGAGGGGGGAAGUUUGUGGUGACGGUACCUGCAGAAGAAGCAGCGGCUAACUACGU
rnacentral:rRNA from 1 species